UCCGAAUUGGUGUAGUGGCUAACAUUUGACGCUCUCAUGGUUGGGAAUUGGAUCAAUCCCGCCAGAACCGUCAAGCCCGGGGUUCGAUUCCCCGAUUCGGAG